rnacentral:lncRNA from 1 species
GCCCCUCCCCCACAGCACCACAGCUUCUACGACUUCAUCGUCACCAAGGCCCGCGGGAAAAGCGGCCCGCUGUUCAAUUUCGAUGUGCACGAGGACGUUCGGCUGCUCAGCGACGCCACCGUGGAGAAGGACGAGUCGCACGCCGGGAAGGUCGUGCUGCGCUCGUGGUACGAGAAGAACAAGCACAUCUUCCCUGCCAG